rnacentral:rRNA from 1 species
GAUGAACGCUGACAGAAUGCUUAACACAUGCAAGUCGAUUCAAGUUACCUUCGGGUAAUGAGGAUGGCGGACGGGUGAGUAACGCGUAAGGAACUUGCCUCUUGGUCUGGGACAACUGUUGGAAACGACAGCUAAUACCGGAUAUUAUGAGAUUCUCGCAUGGGAAACUUAUGAAAGCUAUAUGCGCCAAGAGAGAGCCUUGCGUUCCAUUAGCUAGUUGGUGGGGUAAUGGCCCACCAAGGCGACGAUGGAUAGCCGGCCUGAGAGGGUGAACGGCCACAAGGGGACUGAGACACGGCCCUUACUCCUACGGGAGGCAGCAGUGGGGAAUAUUGGACAAUGGGCCACAAGCCUGAUCCAGCAAUUCUGUGUGCACGAUGAAGGUCUUCGGAUUGUAAAGUGCUUUCAGUUGGGAAGAAGAAAGUGACGGUACCAACAGAAGAAGCGACGGCUAAAUACGUGCCAGCAGCCGCGGUAAUACGUAUGUCGCAAGCGUUAUCCGGAUUUAUUGGGCGUAAAGCGCGUCUAGGCGGAAAAAUAAGUCUGAUGUUAAAAUGCGGGGCUCAACUCCGUAUUGCGUUGGAAACUGUUUUUCUAGAGUACUGGAGAGGUGGGCGGAACUACAAGUGUAGAGGUGAAAUUCGUAGAUAUUUGUAGGAAUGCCGAUGGAGAAGUCAGCUCACUGGACAGAUACUGACGCUGAAGCGCGAAAGCGUGGGGAGCAAACAGGAUUAGAUACCCUGGUAGUCCACGCCGUAAACGAUGAUCACUAGGU